rnacentral:rRNA from 1 species
ACGGGAGGCAGCAGUGGGGAAUAUUGCACAAUGGGGGAAACCCUGAUGCAGCGACGCCGCGUGAGCGAAGAAGUAUUUCGGUAUGUAAAGCUCUAUCAGCAGGGAAGAAAAUGACGGUACCUGACUAAGAAGCACCGGCUAAAUACGUGCCAGCAGCCGCGGUAAUACGUAUGGUGCAAGCGUUAUCCGGAUUUACUGGGUGUAAAGGGAGCGUAGACGGCUGUGUAAGUCUGAAGUGAAAGCCCGGGGCUCAACCCCGGGACUGCUUUGGAAACUAUGCAGCUAGAGUGUCGGAGAGGUAAGUGGAAUUCCCAGUGUAGCGGUGAAAUGCGUAGAUAUUGGGAGGAACACCAGUGGCGAAGGCGGCUUACUGGACGAUGACUGACGUUGAGGCUCGAAAGCGUGGGGAGCAAACAGGAUUAGAUACCCUGGUA